rnacentral:rRNA from 1 species
AUUGAACGCUGGCGGCAGGCCUAACACAUGCAAGUCGAACGGUAACAGGAAGAAGCUUGCUUCUUUGCUGACGAGUGGCGGACGGGUGAGUAAUGUCUGGGAAACUGCCUGUUGGAGGGGGAUAACUCCUGGAAACGGUAGCUAAUACCGCAUAACGUCGCAACACCAAAGAGGGGGACCUUCUGGCCCCUUGCCCUCGGAUGUGCCCAGAUGGGAUUUGCUAGUAGGUGGGGUAACGGCACACCUAGGCGACGAUCCCUAGCUGGUCUGAGAGGAUGACCAGCCACACUGGAACUGAGACACGGUCCAGACUCCUACGGGAGGCAGCAGUGGGGAAUAUUGCACAAUGGGCGCAAGCCUGAUGCAGCCAUGCCGCGUGUAUGAAGAAGGCCUUCGGGUUGUAAAGUACUUUCAGCGGGGAGGAAGGGAGUAAAGUUAAUACCUCUGCUCAUUGACGUUACCCGCAGAAGAAGCACCGGCUAACUUCGUG